AGUGAACGCUGGCGGUAGGCCUAACACAUGCAAGUCGAACGGCAGCACAGUAAGAGCUUGCUCUUACGGGUGGCGAGUGGCGGAUGGGUGAGGAAUACAUCGGAAUCUACUUUUUCGUGGGGGAUAACGUAGGGAAACUUACGCUAAUACCGCAUACGACCUACGGGUGAAAGCAGGGGAUCUUCGGACCUUGCGCGAUUGAAUGAGCCGAUGUCGGAUUAGCUAGUUGGCGGGGUAAAGGCCCACCAAGGCGACGAUCCGUAGCUGGUCUGAGAGGAUGAUCAGCCACACUGGAACUGGGACACGGUCCAGACUCCUACGGGAGGCAGCAGUGGGGAAUAUUGGACAAUGGGCGCAAGCCUGAUCCAGCCAUACCGCGUGGGUGAAGAAGGCCUUCGGGUUGUAAAGCCCUUUUGUUGGGAAAGAAAAGCAGCAGGUUAAUACCCCGCUGUUCUGACGGUACCCAAAGAAUAAGCACCGGCUAACUUCGUG
rnacentral:rRNA from 1 species